rnacentral:snRNA from 1 species
AUCCUUUCUGGCCUACUGGCUAAGAUCAAUUGUAGUAUCCUUUCUAGCGUGACAGCUGGAAGGCGCUCCACGGAGUUUGCCCGUCUGUCAUCGAAUCUUUGGACUCUGAGUUGCUCCGGCUUCUGUCGCGGAUGUCGCCCGUAUCGCACUGCAGCGGGCUGACGUCCCUUGGAC